CUUCCUUUUUGUAGUGCCUACUAGUUACUAUGACUGCUCUACAGAUUCAAAUAUCCUGUUCUAUAUGUAGAGGAAUUUUUUUUUUUUCCUACAGCCCUUUCCUGACCUUGUGUUUUGCCAGUUUUUUGAGACUUUUUUUCCUCUGUCUCUCACCACUGCCUAUUCUAUCCAAGCCUCUCACUUAACUCUCCUUUUGAAACAUCCAGUCAUAAUUCUAAGGUCAGUUUGCAUUUUUUUUUCCCUCUUUCACUGAGUCCUACCCUUCCCAUCUUGUUAGCUCCUCUCCCCUACCCACCCCAGCUGGGAUGAGGAACUCUAGCAGCAAGAGUAGAAACCAACAUUCAGAUCCACAGUUGAACUGCUGAACUCAGCUCCAGGCCAGUGGACACCACAGUAUUGAUUGUAAUGCACACUCUAUUAUUUCAAAGAUAGAGAAUAGAUCAGAACCCCCACCAUUGUGGCUUUCAGAAUAUCUGUAGCAUGGCGGGGAAAGCUUGUUUCAAUAGCACAGAAUAAUGUUUCCUUGCCUUAAAUUACCUUUUCUUCCUGUUGGACACAGAGGCUGUUUAGGUGGGAGCUUUUUUAGGAAAGGACCUCAUAAUUCCACUCUGUCCAAGGAGUAUGCAACUACAGCUGGGACAUGGCUAUAAGACCUUCAUAUUUCACAGUCAAGAUACCAGCCACCUUUCCGGUAGACUGCCCUCUGCUGAUCAUCCCAAUUAUUUUUGCUGAGUUCGUGAAUUCCUUUCUGCCCUCUAAACCAGAGUCCUCUCUUUUAGACCCUAGAAUCACUGGGGCUUCAGUGAAAGAUCCCAAUCCUCCAGAGGCCACUCUUCAAAUUCCUUUUUUUUAGUUGUCUCAAAGACCAUGAACUAGUCAACAUGGGACUUCCUGCUAACUAAAAUCCACAACUAACUUCUACCUACCUAGCCCCUCGAUUGUCAAUUACCUAUCAUUCAUUUAGAAUACAGAUUUUGACAAAUCAUAUAAGCCUCAUUAAAUUGGCCAGAUAUUCUUUGUUUGCUCCUCCAAAUCCGCUCUCCAGUGUUCUCUGCCCUGUGCACCUAGAUGCUGGAAGUAUGAGCUGCCAAGGAGUUCACUACAUGUACAAAGCUUUCUUACUUUCUGGAUUCCAGUUGAACGCAGCCAGUGGGAUGCUCUGGCAGGAGAUGAGGCCAAGGGUUAACAAUGCUACCUUUCCCUCCCAAAGGCCACGAUUUCAAUAGCUCUUUCCUUCAGCUGCAGCUACAGCUACUGCUAUAGUUCCUUCAAGAUUCCAGGAAUUAUGGGCUCCUAUCCUUUCAAGCCUGGAGGCACCAAGAGCUCCCUGCUGUUGUUAGCCUUUGCUAGCUUCCUUUAACCUUUGUAAACAGUCUCUUCAACAAAUUCUUCUCUUUAACCACUGACUUCCUGCCGGGACCCUGUCUGAUAGGCCAAGGUACAACCAUAAUUCCCUCCUCUCCUGAAUGUGGUUGCUAUUUAGAAAAAUUACCAAUCAAUCUCUCCUACUCUACAGUCUCUAAAUCAGGAUUAUUUCAAGGAACUCAAAGUUACAGUUCUCCCCACUAAGGUGAAACUCUGAAGGGUCAGCUGAGGCAUUGCCCUAUGAGCAACAGAUCAGUAUCUUUCCCUUAAUUGGUGCUCCCUGGAAUGGAGAUUCACACCCGCUUUCCCCUCUCUAUAGCUGAGCAUUCAGCUGUACUAUCCCUAAGAAGUGACUCCUUUCCAGGGUUAACAAUUCAGCCUCUAUCCAGAGGCUUGGGGAAGCAUAUGCAAAAGAAUUCCCCCGUGGGUCCUGAAGUUAGCAAGCCCCAUGACUUAGACACACUAAAGAAACAUAAGGAAAAUCAUGAUUUAAAGUAUCAGAAGGCAUGUUUAUUAUAUAAACAUCUCAGCAAAAGCACUGUGCUCAGUAAAAACUACAUUUUACUCUCUUUAAAAUGAUUUUGAUGUAUUAGCCAGUAGUAUGAAUUCUUAUCCACUUUGGCCCAGUCGCUUCAUUCAUUCUGGGGCUAUUGGUAGUUCUCCUCUGAUCUUCCCCAGUAACAUAUUGGACACUUUCAGAGAUGGGGGAUUCAUCUUUUGGUGUCAUAUCUUUUGGGCCUUUUGUACAAUUCGUGACAGUCUUAUGGCAAGUAUACUGGGGUGGUUUGCUUUCCCUCCUCCAGUGGAUCAUGUUUUGUCAGAGCUCUGCCGUGACCCAUCAGUAUUGGGUGGCCCUGCACGGCGUGGCUCACAGCUUCAUUGAAUUACACAAGCUCCUUCACCACAACAAGGCAGUGAUCCAUGAAGGGGUUUUGCAGUCAGCAUGUCAGCAAAUCUGGAAGGCCUAGUAGUGGCCACAGGACUAGAAAAGGUCGAUCCUCAUCCCAAUCCCCAAGAAGGGUAGUACUAAACAAUGUGCUAACCAUCAGAAAAUUACACUCUUCUCCCGUGUUAGUAAGGUCAUGUUUAAAAUCUUGCAUGCUAGGCUUCAGCAUUAUGCGAACCAAAAACUUCCAGAUAUCCAAACUGGGUUUAGAAAAGGAAGAGAAACUAGAGAUCAAAUUGCCAACAUUUGCUGGAUUACAGAGAAAACAAGGAAGUUUCAGAAAAACAUCUAUCUCUUUUCAUCGACUAUGCUAAAGCCUUUGUGUGGAUCAUGACAAACUGUUUCCACAGCUCUUAGAGAGAAAGGAAUACCAGACCAUCUUACCUGUCUUCUGAGAAACCUGCAUAUGGGUCAAGAAGCUACAGUUAGAACCCUGUAUGGAACAAGUGAUUGGUUCAAGAUCAAGAAAGGAGUAUGGCAGGGCUGUCUGCUGUCACCCUGUUUAUAUAACCUAUAUCUGAGCACAUUGUGAGAAAUGCUGGGCUAGAUGAGUUACAAACUGGAAUCAAGAUAUGCAGAUGAUACCACUCUAAUGGCAGAAAGUGAAGAGGAACUAAAGAGCCUCCUGAUGAAAGUAAAAGAGAGUGAAAAAGCUGGCUUAAAACUCAACAUUCAAAAAACGAAGAUCACUUCACGGCAAAUAGAUGGAGAAACAAUGGAAACUGUGAGAGACUUUAUUUUCUUGGUCUCCAAAAUUGCUGCAGAUGGUGACUGCAGCCAUGAAAUUAAAAGAGGUUUGCUCCUUGGAAGAAAAGCUGUGACCAAUCUAGACAGCAUAUUAAAAAACAGAUAUCACUUUGCUGACAAAGGCCCACCUAGUUAAAGCUAUGGUUUUUUUCUGUAGUCAUGUAUGGAUGUAAGAGUUGGACCAUAAAGAAAACUGAGCGCAGAAGAAUUGAUGCUUUUGAACUGUGAUGUUGGAGAAUACUCUUGGAGAGUCCCUUGGACUGCAGGGAGGUCAAACCAGUCCAUCCUAAAGGAAAUCAGUCCUGAAUGUUCAUUGGAAGGACUGAUGCUGAAGCUGAAACUCCAAUACUUUGGCCACCUGAUGUGAAGAACUGACUCAUUGGAAAAAGCCUGAUGCUAGGAAAAAUUGAAGGUGGGAGGAGAAGGGAACAACAGAGGAUGAGAUGGUUGGAUAGCAUCACUGACUCAAUGGACAUGAGUUUGAGCAAGCUCCAGGAGUUAGUGAUGGACAGGGAAGCCUGGCAUCCCGCAGUCCAUGGGGUCGCAAAGAGUCAGACACAACUGAGUGACUGUAAACUGAACUGACUACACCAAUUAGAGUUUCAAAUAUGUCUAGAUUAGUGUGUGGACUAAGCACAUUCACUGCUGAAUGGAAUUAUUUUUUAAAAACAUAAAGGCUUUUUUGAUAUUUUAAUAUGUAUUAAUUUGGCUGCUCUAGUUGCAGCAUGUUGGAUCUUCUAUCUUCAUUGAGGCAUGUGAACUCCUAGUUGCAACAUGUAGGAUCUGGCUCCUUGACCAAGGAUCCAACCUGAUCCAGGAGCACUGAAUCUUAGCCACUGGACCACCACAGGAGUCCCCACAAUGCCUGGAUAAUUAGAGUUUUAGAUUUCUGCCAUUAUAUAAAAUUAAGUACCGAGGUGUUCUAUAAAGGCUCUCAUUAGACUUCUUUGCAACACUUCAUUACAACUUUUUUUUGUUUGUUUUGAAAUUGUGGUAAAAAAAAAAUAAACAUAAAAUUUACUAUUACUCAUUUUUUAAGUGUACUUUUCAGUGGCAUUAAAUACAUUCACAUUGUUGUGUAACUAUCACCACCAUCCAUCUCUGAAACUUUUUCAUCAUCCCAAGUUGAAACUCUUAUGUCCAUUAACAAAUGACUCUCCAUUCCUCCCUCUUUUCAGCCUCCAGAAACCAUUAUUACACUUUUUGUAUCUAUGAAUUUGACUAUUCUAGUGACCUCAUGUAAGUAGCGUCAGACAGUAUUUGUCGUUUUGUGUCUGUCUCAUGUCACUUAACAAUAUUUUCAAAGUUCAUCCACAUUGUAGCAUGUUACCAGACUUUCCUUCCUUUUCAAAACUGAAUAAGAUUCCGUUGUACAUAUAUGCCACACUCAGUUUAUUUGUUUUUCAUCUAAGGACAGCUGGAUUUUUUUUCUCAUCUUUUAGCUACUGUGAAUAAUGCUGCUAUGAACAUGGGUCUACAAAUUCUCUUUGAGACUCUGCUUCAGUUCUUUUGAAUAUAUACCCAGAAGUGAAACUGGUGGAUCAUUUGAUAAUUCUGUUUAAUUUUUUUGAGGAACCAUCAUACCAUCAUCCACAGUGGUUGCACCAUCUUACAUUUCCACCAGCAAUGCAUCAGGGUUCCGGCUUGUCUACAUCUUUGUCAACACUUUAUUACUUUGUUUUUUUUUUUAAACAAUAGCUAUCCUAAUGGGUGUGAGGUGAUGUGAUAUUGUGGUUUUGAUAUGCAUUUCCCUAGUGAUUAAUGAUGUCAAGCAUCUUUUCAUGUGUGUAUUGGCAUUUGUAUAUCUUGUUUAGAGAAGUAAGUAUCUAUUCAUGUCCUUUGCUCAUUUUUGAAUCAAGUUGUUUGUUUUGUUGUUGAGUUGUUGGAGAUUUAAAAAAAAAAAAAAUAUAUAUAUAUAUAUAUUCUCAAUAUUAAUCCCUUAUUCAGAUAGAUGAUUUGCAAGUAUUUUCUCCUAUUUUGUGUGUUAACUUUUCUCUAACUUGAUAGUGUCCUUUGAUGCAAAAAAAUAUUACAUUUUGAUGAAGUCCAAUUAUUUUGUCACUGAUGCUUUUGGUGUCAUAUCUAAAAAAUCAUUGUCAAACCCAUUGUCAUAAGAUUUUCCCCUAUAUUUUCUUCCAAGGCUUUUACAGUUUUAGCUGUUUUAUAGUUUUAGUUGUUAAGCUGUCUUUGAUCCACUUUUAGUUAAUUUUGCAUUUGGUGUAAGAGUCCUACUACAUUCUUUUGCAAGUGGAUAUCUAGUUUUCCCAGCAUUAUUUGUUGAAGAGACUAUCCUUUCUCUCUUGAAGGGUCUUAGCCUUGUCAGAAUCACUUGACAGUAUAUUUGAGGAAUCAUCUCAAGCUUUUAACCAUAGAAGGUUAUUCUUAUCUUUCUUUCCAGGCAGAAUUUUAAAUUUGAAUAAAUGCCACUAUAAUUAUCAACAUUUAUGGAUGUUCAAGCAACUAUGAUGCAAGAGAUCAAAUUAAAUGCAAGGGAUACAUGGAGAAAAAAGAUAUGGGCUCUGGUUAUGAAACUACCAAUUUAUUGGGGGAGAUAGAAUAUCUCAUUAAAAAAUGACCACAAAUAUAGGAUAGCACAUGCUAAUUUAAAAAUAAAUAGCACAGAGAUUACAUGUCUUGAGAGUUCAGAGCUUGUGGUUUUAGGGAUGGAUUUUAAGCAUUAAAAUAUCAGUAGGUGCAGAAAUAUUCACAGCAGUUUUAUUCAUAUUGGGCUUCCCAAGUGGCGCAAUGGUGAAGAACCCACCUGCCAAUGCAGGAGAUGCAAGAGACGCAGGUUGGAUCAAUCCCUGGGGUGGAGAAGAUCCCCUCGAGUAGGAAAUAGAAACCCAGUCCAGGAUUCUUACCUGGAAAAUUCCAUGGACAGAGGAGCCUGGCGGGCUUCAGUCUGUGGGAUCACAAAGAGUCAGACAACUAAGCAACUAAGCACAUUAUCUAUAUCAGCAAAAAGAAUGGAAGUUAUGCAAAUGUCCAUCAGCUGAUGAAUGGAUAAGCCAUAUGUGAUCAUAUUGAAUAAUGAAAUAUUAUUCAGCAGUCAAAAGAAAGUGGUGAUUGCCACAUGGAUGAACCUUAAAAACAUUAUGCUAAGUGGAAGAAACCAGCCACAAAGGACCACAUAUUGUGUUACUCCAUUUUUAUAAACUGUCAAGAAUAAGGAAAUCCAUACAAACAGAAAGUAAAUUACUGGUUUCCUAGGUCUGGACUGAAAGGAGGCAAGGGAGGAGAGAGGAAUGGAAAGUGACUGCUAAUGGGCAUAGAAUUUGUUUUGGGGCUGAUGAGAGUAUUUUGAAACUGAUUAUGAUGGUAAUUAUGCAACUCUGUAAAUGGUUGAAUUGUAUGGUAUGCAAGUUGUAUUCCAAUUAAGAUGUUAAUUUAAAAAUAGCCUCACCAAUCCCAUCUGUCCAGGUAAAAAUGUGAAUUUUAUCAUAUGUGAACUACAUGUCAACAAAGCAGUUAUUACAAAUGGAAGAAAAGAGGACUUCCCUGGCAGUCCAAUGGUUAAGACUCUGGUCUUCCAAUACAGGGGGCACAGGUUCAAUCCCUCGUUGGGGAACUAAGAUCCUGCACAGUGAGGCAAAAAAAUUAAAAAGAAAACAUACCAAAGAUUCCAAUCAGUAAUCCAGAAAGAACUAUAGUCUGGGCCAGAUGACCUGUUUCUCUUAGGUUUAUAGAAUCCUAUCUGAAGCAAUGCAAAAGUAUGAAUUUUUAAUAUCUGAGACAGUGGGCAAUUAUUGAAUGUUUUUGUUUAAGGUAAUGAUACACUAAUGUGUUUUAGAAACACUGAUACUGGUGGCUCUCAUUAGGCUGGACUGGAAUGGAGAGGGACUGGAAGAAUAAAACCUGCUGAGGUAGCUGUUAAAAUAUUCUAGAAUAGUAGUUUCCAAAUGCUGACCAACAGUGUCAGCAUCACCUAGGAAUUUGUUAGAAAGGCAAAUUCUUGGUUCCCACCUCAGAGCUAGAAUCAAAAACUCUACAUUAGGGUCCAACAGUUUGUGUUUUAAUACAUCCUCUUGGAGAUUCUGAUACAGGAAAAUAUUUAAGAAUAUUUCUGCUCUAGGAGAAAAGUAAUGGGCAUCUGAGAGACAGUGGUAAAGAUGUACAUGAAGAAACGCUUGUAAUAUAUAGGUAAUGUAUUUCUCGUCAACUAUUUGAAAAUAAAGGCAAGAGGAAGGAAAGAAGCACAGAAGAUUCACAGAUUUUCUCUGUUGUCAUUAACAAAUAUAGGGAGGAGAGGUAGAGGUGCUAGUAUAGGAAGAAGACAAUGAAUUCAAAUAUUUACAUUCUGAGCUGAUUUACGGAGUGGACACUGUUAAUUGCCUGUCCAAAUUCGGUUCUCUCACUGUUGGUCUUUUUUUUUCACUGUUGGUCUUUAUAUGGACUGGAACCUGGUGGUCUGGAGUCGACAAUGAGAAAGUGAAAGAAGGAAAGAGGCUACUAUUCCCCAGGUUACACAGCCAGCCUUCACGCUCCAGGGAAUUAGCCAGAAAUAGCGAGCGAGAGAGAGAGAGAGAGAAAGGAAUAUACGGGGACCCAAGCUCUGAUGGAGCAAAGGUGUUUUAUUCAACAUGGUGUGGGCAUGUAUACUGUCUAACAAGGUAGUUAUUCUCAGCAAAGAUAAAGAUUAAAAUUCCAGACUUACAAAACAUAAAGUGAUCCAUAUGAAAGAGAGAGAGUUGUAAACAAUCACUUUUACCAUAUGGUUCAUAAGAAGGAAGAGGGUACUUAUCACCGUAUUGGUUUUGAAAAACUAACGAAGGAAAUGCGUGGAUUCCUCAGCCCCAGGAGAGGCUUGCCUCUCCUCUUAAUUCCGGAAUAUUCAGGAAUUAAUAAGGAACAGAGGAUUCAUGACAGAUCCAAAACAGCACACAGGAAGCCUCCUGUUAAAUGCUUCCUGACACCUCACCUGCCCCAUUUCCUUCUUAGCUAAGCCCCUUUUUGUGCAAGUGUUCGUCCUCCAUGUGGCCAUGUACGUCAGGGAGUAUGCACACCUCCCUAACCUAACAGGUGACUGUUGGCUGAUAGUAGUUACAGUUGUAAUAAUUAGGUUAGGCAUGAGCGUGUUCUAUAAUUCUGGCCAGUGAGCAAUGAGGGGAGAUCUGCUGGGGUUCUGAGACGGAAGAAGGAGCUUUCUUUAAAAGGACAUAAAUCAGGGUCAUUCCUUUGUUUCCUGCCUCUAGGUUAGCUGAUCCACACAGUCAAAGGUUUUGGCAUAGUCAAUAAAGCAGAAAUAGAUGUUUUUCUGGAACUCUCUUGCUUUUUCGAUGAUCCAGCAGAUGUUGGCAAUUUGAUCUCUGGUUCCUCUGCCUUUUCUAAAACCAGCUUGAACAUCUGUAAGUUCACGGUUCACAUAUUGCUAAAGCCCGGCUUGGAGAAUUUUGAGCAUUACUUUACUAGCGCGUGAGAUAAGUGCAAUUGUGCGGUAGUUUGAGCAUUCUUUGGCAUUGCCUUUCCUUGGGAUUGGAAUGAAAAUUAGUCUUUUCCAGUCCUGUGCCCACUGCUGAGUUUUCCAAAUUUGCUGAUAUGCUGAGUGCAGCACUCUCACAGCAUCAUCUUUCAGGAUUUGAAGUAGCUCAACUGGAAUUCCAUCACCUCCACUAGCUUUGUUCAUAGGGAUGCUUCCUAAGGCCCACCUGACUUCACAUUCCAGGAUGUCUGGCUCUAGACUACAUCACGCUGGGCUGGAAGAAGCACAUGCUGGAAUCAAGAUUGCCGGGAGAAAUAUCAAUAACCUCAGAUAUGCAGAUGACACCACCCUUAUGGCAGAAAGUGAAGAAGAACUAAAGAGCCUUUUGAUGAAAGUGAAAAAGGAGAGUGAAAAGUUGGCUUAAAGCUCAACAUUCAGAAAACAAAGAUCAUGGCAUCCGGUCCCAUCACUUCAUGGCAAAUAGAUGAAGAAACAGUGGAAACAGUGGCUGACUUUAAUUUUUUGGGCUCCAAAUCACUGCAGAUGGUGACUGCAGCCAUGAAAUUAAAAGAUGCUUACUCCUUGGAAGAAAAUUUAUGACCAGCUAGACAGCAUAUUAAAAAGUAGAGACAUUACUUUGUCAACAAAGGUCCAUCUAGUCAAGCCUAUGGUUUUUCCAGUAGUCGUGUGUGGAUGUGAGAGUUGGACUAUGAAGAAAGCUGCUUUUUGAACUCUGUGGGAGAAGGUGAGGGUGGGAUGUUUCAAAGGAACAGCAUGUAUACUAUCUAUGGUGAAACAGAUCACCAACCCAGGUGGGAUGCAUGAGACAAGUGCUCCGGCCUGGUGCACUGGGAAGACCCAGAGGAAUCGGGUGGAGAAGGAGGUAGGAGGGGGGGAUCGGGAUGGGGAAUACGUGUAAAUCUAUGGCUGAUUCAUAUCAAUGUAUGACAAAACCCACUGAAAUGUUGUGAAGUAAUUAGCCUCCAACUAAUAAAAAAUAAAAAUAAAUAAAAAGAAAGCUGCUGCUGCUGCUGCUAAGUCGCUUCAGUCGUGUCCAAUUCUGUGUGACCCCAUAGACGGUAGCCCACGAGGCUCUGUCCACAGGAUUCUCCAGGCAAGAAUACUGGAGUGGGUUGCCAUUUCCUUCUCCCUAAAGAAAGCUGAGCACCAAAGAGUUGAUGCUUUUGAACUGUGGUGUUGGAGAAGACUCUUGAGAGUCCCUUGGACUGCAAGGAGAUCCAACCAGCCCAUCCUAAAGGAGAUCAGUCCUGGGUGUUCAUUGGAAGGACUGAUGCUGAAGCUGAAACUCCAAUACUUUGACCAUCUGAUGUGAAAAGCUGACUCAUUUGAAAAGACCCUGAUGCUGGGGAAGAUUGAGGACAGGAGGAGAAGGGGACAACAGAGGAUGAGAUGGUUAGAUGUCAUCACCAACUCAAUGGACAUGGGUUUGGGUAGACUCCAGCAGUUGGUGAUGGACAGGGAGGCCUGGCCUGCUGCAGUUCAUGGGGGGUUGCAAAGAGUUGGACAUGACUGAGCAACUGAACUGAACUGAACUGAGGUUAGCUGAACUGAAACUGCUACAGCCAUCUCCUUACUGUAAGGGUACUAUUUAACAGUGUUCUGAUAGUUCUAGACAGUUCAAAGUUCCAGGGAAUAGAAGGAACAUUUUGAGAAUUUACUUGGUGUCAGACAUGCUCAGGUACUUUACACAUAUGAUUAUGUUAUUAGAAUGUAAGUUAACUUUUACUCUCAUAAUAACUUCAUUUUGCAGAUGAGGAAACUGAAAGAUGGCAAAUUAACGUGCCCAACACAAAGUUAAAUACUAGGAAAUGAAAAAGGAUUCCCACAGGUCUUUGACUCCAGAACUUACACCCUUAACAUCAUUGCUCAACUUACAAUGAUCAGAAAACAGGGGACAAGAUUGUAAUUAUUUGUAGAUACUAUGACUGUUAACAAAAGAAAAAUAUUAAUGAAAGUUUUUUAGAAAUAUUGAAUUCAGUAUGUAUAAGAAAUUAACUAGUAUAAAUCUCAACCAAGUAGAACUGGAAGAUCAGAAUGGGGAACUCUCAUGCCCUGUAGUGAUAGCAGAGCCCAGUAGGAAGAAGAAAGACUCUUUUUCCUGGUAAGGACUCAGCCAAUGAAAGGCUAAGAACUCUUUGUUUAUUAUAGCCCUACCAACUCCUUUUUCAACCUAUAAACUUGUUCUCCUUCCCUUGCCAUGAGGAGGACUGUUCGUGGUUGCAGACCCCAAAUUGCAAUAAUAUUCUAAUCCCAAAUAAACCCAUCAUUGCUGAAGAGAUAUCUGGCAGUCUGUUUGUUUUAGGUCAAUGUUUUGGUGGCCCGUACAGGGACCAGAGAAGACCCUGGAAGACUCUGGAGCUGAUAGCAAACAAGUGCAGAACCUACAAACUGAGCCCAUUGUCACUCACUACUUUCCUCACCAACCCUGAAGUUUGGAGGUGCAUCUUUCUCCUGGAUCCAAGCUCACAUCCUGGUUGCAUGUUGAAGCUCUUCAGGUUUCUAAGGUUUUUUCUUCCAGGGAGGUCCUGGUAAGGAACGUGGAACUAAUAAGCCACCACCAACUGGAAGAAUUCGGGAAAGGUCAAAAGGUGACACCACAUGUCCAACCACCUCCCAGAAUCAUCCUCGCUGGCAUCCACCUUAGCUGAGCAGUGCAUGCACCACGAGGAAGGACUCUGAGUCAGAAUGAUUGGCCAAAGACAACCCAGAAACUAAUCCCACCACCAUAAAACCCAAGACUGUGAGCCAUGUGGCCGAGCAGUUCUCCUGGGUUCCCUUACCCUCCUGCUCUCCACCCAGACACCCCUUCCCAAUAAACCCCUUUGUCAGCACAUGUGUCUCCUUGAACAAUUCAUUUCUGAGUAUGAGACAAGAGCCCACUUUUGGGCCCUGGAAGGGGUCCCCCUUCCUGCAACAAGUGGUGAUUCUGGUGGGAUUCUUCUUCACUGUGACUGAUAUCCUGACCAAUUAGGGUACUUAUUGACCAGCUUGCCCACUGAUGAACCAGACCCAGUGGCUGCAACUGGGACCCUUUUGUCCAUGGUCUCCUCUUGACGUGGACAACUGUCCAGAGUGCCCCAACCGGCUAAGGAAUAAGAGACUUUAUUGACCUCUCUCCGCUUCCCUCUCUCUUUCCUCUCCUUCAGUUCAGUUCAGUUCAGUCGCUCAGUUGUGUCCGAC